AAGGAAACAAUUAUCAUCUUCAGUUUUGAGAGACUUAAGAAAGUUUUUCAUUGUCACUUGCUUGCAAAUUGUAUUUGCAACAUUUUAAUCUUUUUAAGAUUAAGGGCCUAUAGCUCAGUUGGUUAGAGCACACGCCUGAUAAGCGUGAGGUCGGUGGUUCAAGUCCAUUUAGGCCCACCAUAACCACAAAUAGGCAAAAUCUUAAAAAAGCUCUUUGAAAAGUAGAUAAACGAAGGUUAAAAAAUCAAA
rnacentral:misc_RNA from 1 species